rnacentral:SRP_RNA from 1 species
GCCGGGCAUGGUGGUGCAUGCCUGUAAUCCUAGCUACUUGGAAGGCUGAGGCAGGAGAAACACUUGAACCUGGAGGUGGAGGUUGCAGUGAGCUGAGAUCACGCCACUGCACUCCAGCCUGGGCGAUAGAGUAAGACUCCAUCUCAAAAAAAAAAAAAAAAAAAAAANNNNNNNNNNCCCAGGCUGGAGUGCAGUGGCGUGAUCUCAGCUCACUGCAACCUCCACCUCCAGGUUCAAGUGUUUCUCCUGCCUCAG